CCUCGUGAGAUGAAUCUUCCCAUUGCUUCUCGCCACCUCGCGAUGUGGAGCACAAAGGAGAUGUGUGAGCCGCAGGAUGGAUUGCCCCAUCGUGUCUCACAUCUCAUCAACAUGAUGACCUCGCUAGGUGGAGCACAAGAGAGAUAUGUGAGUUGAGAGAUGGAUCACCUCAUUGUGUCUCACACCCCAUCAACAUGGCAACCUCGUGAAGUGGAGAGCAAAGAACAUGCAGGCACUGCUUGCUCCCUAUGACGAUACUGAAGUGCGAGUUCUAUCAAAAAGACACGUCCAAUGGAAAUCUUGCGAGGUCAAUAUCUCAUAAGAUGUAAGUAUAACAAUAUUACAUAUUGCAUUAUUGUUAUGGUCAAUAAAAAGAUAAUUUUUUUCCUUA